GUGUGUCAAAACUUGAAACGCGUUUUUCUCGAAACGACUUUUUUUAAAUUUGCGGGCGGGAUAACUCAAAAAGUUCUCAACCGAUUCCAAUGAAAUUUUUUACACGUCUACUUUAUAGUAAUAGCUUCUAGUUAAACCUCAAAUAUUCCAAAAAAAUUUUCAAAAAUUAACCCUUUUUACCAAAAAACCAUUGAUAAAAUGAGAAAAAUCAAAUUUUUUUUUCUGAGGUGUGCCAAAUUACGAUUUUUUUUACUUUUUUGAUUUUUUUUUGGUUUAACUAGAAGAUAUAUGUUUUAUAAACACGUACAAACUAAUUUUUUUAAUUUCAGAUUACCGUACGAGAAGUGAGAACGCUCGCAAAUUGAUGUCUUUUUUCAAGAGGGUCUCGGCAGAUUCAUUUUUACGGCGGCCAUUUUGAAAAAAAAAAAUAAAAAAAAAAUUUUUACUUGUACUUUAAUAUAUAAUAAAUAACCCUACAAAAUUUCAAAAUGAUUCAAGUAUUCCUUCUCAGUUUAAAAUGUCCUUAAAAAACGGUAAAAAUUAAGGCAUUUACAUGUAUCGCCCCCCUUAAUUAAGAAAUUGUAAAAGCCCCAAUAGAU